rnacentral:rRNA from 1 species
GGGUAGCAUUUAUUAGAUGGAACCAACCCCUUCGGGGUGAUGUGGUGAAUCAUAAUAAGCUUGCGGAUCGCCGGUGGCGAUGGAUCAUUCAAGUUUCUGGCCCUAUCAGCUUUGGACGGUAAGGUAUUGGCUUACCGUGGCUUUAACGGGUAACGGGGAAUUAGGGUUUGAUUCCGGAGAGGGAGCCUGAGAGACGGCUACUCACAUCCAGGAAGGCAGCAGGCGCGUAAAUUACCCAAUCUUGACACAAGGAGGUAGUGACAAUAAAUAACAAAUGCCGGGCCUUCUAGGUCUGGCAAUUGGAAUGAGAACAAUUUAAACCCCUUAUCGAGGAUCAAUUGGA